rnacentral:ncRNA from 1 species
CAAAGGUUUGGUCCUGGCUUUACUAUCAGCUUUAACCAUAUUUACACAUGCAAGUAUCCGCACCCCUGUGAGAAUGCCCCACAGUCCCCUGCCCGGAGACAAGGAGCUGGUAUCAGGCACAAACACCUUAGCCCAUGACACCUUGCUUAGCCACACCCCCAAAGGGAAUCCAGCAGUGAUAAAUAUUAAGCCAUAAGUGAAAACUUGACUUAGUUAAAGUUAAAAGGGCCGGUAAAAUUCGUGCCAGCCACCGCGGUUAUACGAAAGGCCCAAGUUGAUAGACAUCGGCGUAAAGCGUGGUUAAGAAACUUCCUAACUAAAGCCGAAUGCCCUCAGAACUGUCGUACGUUUGCCGAAGGUAAGAAGCCCAUCUACGAAAGUCGCUUUAUUCCUCUGAUUCCACGAAAGCUGUGAAACAAACUGGGAUUAGAUACCCCACUAUGCACAGCCCUAAACUUUGAUAGUCUACUACAACCCCUAUCCGCCCGGGUACUACGAGCAUUAGCUUAAAACUCAAAGGACUUGGCGGUGCUUUACAUCCACCUAGAGGAGCCUGUUCUAGAACCGAUAACCCCCGUUAAACCUCACCCUCUCUUGUCAUUCCCGCCUAUAUACCGCCGUCGUCAGCCUACCCUGUGAAGGCCUAAUAGUUAGCAAAACUAGCACAACCCAAAACGCCAGGUCGAGGUGUAGCACAUGAGAGGGAUAGAAAUGGGCUACACUCCCUUAACAAAGGGAAUACGAAUAGUAUGCUGAAAUACAUACAUUGAAGGAGGAUUUAGUAGUAAGCAGAAAAUAGAGUGUUCUGCUGAAUCCGGCCCUAAAGCGCGCACACACCGCCCGUCACUCUCCCCAAGCGACCCGCCCAUAUUAAUAAUAAACCACCACUGCAAAGGGGAGACAAGUCGUAACAUGGUAAGUGUACCGGAAGGUGCACUUGGAAAAAC